rfam:Amborella trichopoda AMTR_V1.0_contig_27723, whole genome shotgun sequence.
CAGAAAUGGGAGCUCCUUUGAGGAUGAAGAAAGCAUUUCGGAUCGUCUAAUCGAUCAGUGAAGCAGUCAUCCUUUGUAUUGAAGGGAGCUCCUAAUUCUU